rnacentral:snoRNA from 9 species
ACGACCUUACUUGAACAGGAUCUGUUCUAUAGGCUCGUACCUCUGUAUCCUUUAUCACAAAGGAGACAGGAACUCAAGUCUGGUGGAUGAAUCAUGACCGUGUGAUCAGAGCGUGAUUAACGGCUGGAGGAUCUUUCUGGGUUCUCAGGGCUGUAGAGGAUCGUACCUAGGCUGCCUAGCUGACUGGGAUGAUCGCAUGGUUGUCUGACAGACU